AGCAGCAGUGGCAACAUGACGCUGUCCUUUUAACCCUUCACUAUGGGACAACAAUUCAGGCUAAGAUGGUAAUUUCUGUGUCUGAUAGUGAUCAGGAUCAUAGGUAAUUUGCACAACAAUUUUUAUAAGUAGUAACUUUUGAUGAAAUUUUCUCUUUGUCUUUAAAAUAUACUAGGAAAUGGAAAGGAAGGUUUUUGCAUAUAUUUAUUAUUUACAAAUAAUUACUCACUUUAAAGGCUUUUCAUAAAUGGUGCCAAAAGAUAUAGGGUCACAAAUAUUAGCCUUUGCACUUAUUGUCAUGUUUCCUAUAGUUGUUUCGUGACAAAUUUUGCUUCCCUAUUUAGAAGCUGGAUGCAACUUACAGGAAGAUCACCGUGGUGUGUGAAUGUGGAUAAUGUCAGCUCUACCUCCUCUGUGAAGGGAGAAUCAGGGAGAAAGAUCCACAUAAAACCUAAGAAGAGCCAGAACAGUUUUAGAAAAUCUGGAGUUUAUGUGUCUUCUCGGGUAGACCCAAUUCUUGAAGUAUGGGAAGAAAAUACAUCUGCAACGGAAGAACUUAGCAAAGACAUGGAAC
ensembl:lncRNA